UUCGAGAGAAUCCAAUCCAACCAAAGCAACACAACACAACACAACGCUUCCUCCUCCUCUCCCCUCGAAUCGAUCCCCUCCAAACCCGCCGCCGCCGCCGUGGACCUCCUAUCCCCAUCCCCACCGGCGUUCUCGUCUCCUCUAGCCUCACCGUCGACCUCCCGCCCCGCCCUGCAUCCCGUCGCCGGCGCCCCCACCCUCUCCCCUCUCCGUCUCUUCCUAGGAGGGAGCGAGGCCUCAGAUCCACAGGCCGCGGCAACCACCACCACCGCGUCCUACUCCUUCCACCCCACCUAGCCGCCCUCCGCCUCCACAGCUCUCCGUCCCUCCCUCCCUCCUCGCGCCCGCAGCCAUGUCGACCGAGCUCAGGACCCCUCUCCUCCAAGACCAAAACGCAGGCAGCAGGCCAGGGCGACUUCAGCGCUUCCCUUCUCCUGGACGGCAGUUUAGUCGUGUUGGUCGUGCGCUCCCACAACCAGAGAGGAGGGGAGAGGAGGCGGAGAUGCUGCUGCUGCACGGGCUGACGGGGAAGAACAAGCAGGCGUGGAAGGAGGGCAAGAUCCGCGGCACGGCGGUGCUGGUCAAGAGCGGCGUGCUCGACCUCGGCGACUUCAACUCAUCCGUCCUCGACGACGUCCACAAGAUCCUCGACGGCCAAGGACGAUGGCGUCUCCUUCCAUCUCGUCAGCGCCACCGCACCCAACCCCCGGAUUGAAGGUUGUCAACAAAGAAAGGAAGAAAGAAAGAAAGAUCCAUUUCUCCAUGGAAGGAGGAAGGGACAUCUUGAUCGCAAGUGACUGACUGGAAGCAACCGAGGGAGCCGGCAACCUCUCCGACAUGCUGCUCACGACCACCUCCCCAACCAGAUGCUGUUGGUAAGCUCUCUCUUCUCCCCCUCCAUCUAUUUGCGAAGCACACAUGUAUGCAAGAUGGAAAUCCAUCUAUUUAACUCGAUUUUGCUGAAAAAUGUUUCUUUUUAUCCUGUUGGAUGUGUAGGCAGUAGAGGAAGUAUGGAUGUUAAUUUUGUUUCACUCAAUAAAAUCCUUGUGUGUGCUAAUUAUGCAUUGGCAGUAGGCAGUAGACUUAGCCAUUUGUCGAUAAAAUCCUUGUGUGUGCUAAGUAUGGAUGUUAAUUUUGUUUCACUCAAUUUCACUUCUCUACAAUGUUCAUUCUCACAUAUUUCUAUCAUUCUUUGCAGGGAUAAAGUAAAGAAAAAGAAGAAAAGAUUACUAGAAGAUUAGUUUUAGAAUUUUCUUUUAUUUCCUUGUAAUUUUUCUUUUAUUGGAUACUUGUAAAGACAUUGUGUAAUAUUCUUACUAUAAUAAAAAUUAUGAUUCUAUUUCAUUUUUUGUUUUUAAAUUAUUUUUCCUUAUAGGUUGUUUUCUGUAA